rnacentral:tRNA from 1 species
UGAGGUGUGGUCUGCUGGCAGGCCAGCGGGCCUUUGACCCCCGCCUCCGUAGGUUCGAUUCCUGCCACCUCAG